AGCUGCUAGGCAUGCAAGGGUAUAUAGGAUUUCCUUUAUGCAGGAGGUCCAGGUUGUGUGGUGCUCUAUCCCAGGGUCAUUGUUCAUACCUAAGCAGUGCAAUAAGGUGGCUUGGAAAAGAAACUAAAACAUGUAACAGCUGAUGUAAGGUUUCUGCACACCUGAAUCCUACAGAGCUACCUGUGGGGAGCAGGAGGAAUAAUCUAAUGUCUCUGCCUGCAGCACUGCUCGGAUUAAAGAUGGAAGUGAGGUGCCAGGCACCUAGAGCUGUGUAUAUAUGGCCAAGGGGAGGAAAGAAUACAAGGAUGCCUCAGGACACAGGACAGUCUCCAAUUAGUGGCUAGUUUUUCCUAUAUUACUUUCUUAGAUACUUUUAUUACUGGAAUGGGGAAAAUACAUGAGAGUGUUGAAAUGAAUAUAGACCGGAUUCAGAAGGUUAUACCUGAUUUUGUUGAGGUAAGGUUAGCUGGAAGAGCUUAGCAAUCCUAUACCUCAAUAGAAAAUAACUAUUUAGUUUUGAGGAACCGAUUAAUCACUUUGAUUUACUAAAAACUGUGCAGUUACUUCAGCUCUGCAGUCAGUAGCAAUGGAUUAAGCGUUGUACUAAGGAUGAAAACUAGCUUUCAUCAUAGACAGCUGGUGUGAUCCUGAACAUGGCAUAUUCUUGCUUGGUCUUAACCAGGUGAAUU